CCUACGGGAGGCAGCAGUGGGGAAUAUUGCCCAAGGGGGGAAACCCGGAGGCAGCAACGCCGCGUGAGUGAGGAAGCCUUUCGGGUGGUAAAGUUCGUUUUUGGCGGAGGAUAAUGACGGUAAGCGAGGAGGAAGCCACGGCUAACUACGUGCCAGCAGCCGCGGUAAU
rnacentral:rRNA from 1 species